GAUGAACGCUGGCGGCGUGCCUAAUACAUGCAAGUCGAGCGAACGGACGAGAAGCUUGCUUUUCUGAUGUUAGCGGCGGACGGGUGAGUAACACGUGGAUAACCUACCUAUAAGACUGGGAUAACUUCGGGAAACCGGAGCUAAUACCGGAUAAUAUUUUGAACCGCAUGGUUCAAAAGUGAAAGACGGUCUUGCUGUCACUUAUAGAUGGAUCCGCGCUGCAUUAGCUAGUUGGUAAGGUAACGGCUUACCAAGGCAACGAUGCAUAGCCGACCUGAGAGGGUGCUCGGCCCCACUGGAACUGAGACACGGUCCUGACUCCUACGGGAGGCAGCAGUAGGGAAUCUUCCGCAAUGGGCGAAAGCCUGCCGGAGCACCCCCGCGUGAGUGAUGAAGGUCUUCGGAUCGUAAAACUCUGUUAUUAGGGAAGAACAUAUGUGUAAGUAACUGUGCACAUCUUGACGGUACCUAAUCGGAAAGCCACGGCUAACUACGUG
rnacentral:rRNA from 1 species